ensembl:lncRNA LINC00240 long intergenic non-protein coding RNA 240
GAAGGGCUCCUGAAGCGCGGCCAGAGUGGGCUGAGGCCGAGGAGGCGCCGAGAGCCAGCGAGGGGAUGCCAGCAAGCUGUCACCUCUCAGAAAUACAGGAAGAACAUCAAUAAUGUUCGAAGUUAUAAAUUGCGGAGGCCAGAAGUCAGAAAACAAGGUGUCUGCAGGACCAACCUCUCCUCUGGAUGCUCUAGUGUGGACUCUCAAGACAAUAUACAGCAGUGCUUCUCAAAGUUAAACAGUAUAUGAGUGACCUGGAAAUGAAGAUGCAGAUUUAAUAGGGCUGGAGAGAAGUCUGAGAUUCUCAAUUUCUAAUGAAUUAAAUUACAAAGAGGAGAAAAUAA